rnacentral:misc_RNA from 1 species
AAGUCGUAACAAGGUUUCCGUAGGUGAACCUGCGGAAGGAUCAUUAACAAAUUCCAAAACACGCGUGUUGGAUCAAGUGACAUAAGACAUGUGCAAGUUGGUCGAGUGAACGGUGUGUCCCCACGUUGGGCCAUGCUAUCGACUUUCAAUGAGCCUUGUCAAUAGGGUUGCUUGAUCUAUUCAUAACACACACACAACACUCACAUUACCAUUUGACAACCAAGAGUAACCAAAAACGUUAAAUCGAAACAACUUUUAACAAUGGAUCUCUCGGCUCUU